UUUUUGGAUUAACUUGACCGGUCUAGAGAAUUUUUCGCGCGUUUCGGCCAACCCACCUAUAGAUAUAUCUGUAUCUGCAUGUAGAAACCGCUCCCGUUUUUUUUUUUUGGCACCUGCGAGAUGCGCGCCCACGUUGUGUGCGAUUAUUCAAUUAUGUGUGUGCUGAUAUAGCAGCGGAACGACGGGGAGCAACCCUCGCCACCACAAGGCUAAUGCUCUUCCGUGAAUUUCCACGCAAUCACCUAUUGGACUCGAUCCAUUAGCGAUUUGCAGAUAAGGGCGCUGAUUUCACAAGUGGUUUACGCAUUUCGACGGACCCGGUUCGCGUUUAUGAAUGAAUCACUACGACAAAGGUCCAAGAAAGUCCAAGUAAGUGUCUUCCACCCGCUGCCCCGAUCAGACGACGACCCCGCCGGCAAGACGAGACAGCUCCCAGACGGAGACCAAUUAAGUACGGGCGUACAGAUACCAUAUACGUCAUCGCACACGAGAUCUGGUAGGUUAGGUAGGUCAGUUUUCACUUGCGCAAUUUUGGGGCAGAACUUUCCACCGGCAGCCGGCUAUCGGCUAUUUUUAAGCCGCAGCGGAACAGACCUACAAACGACCUUGGCAUUCUCGAAAUGUGGUGUCUGGGCUAAUUGUGCCGAAAGCGCAGUUAUCACGCCGUCUGUAACUGAUACAAGUGUAUCCAAGGGAUUGUCCGGCGGCGGCGGUAGAAGCACGCAACUACGGCGUGCAGAGUGCUCCGCCCACGCCGGAAUGCCAUUUGCUCAAGUGUUCGAAAGACGUCGUCGGAGAUGGGGACGAAGAAGCGAAGAAACAAGCUACAUAAUGCACGUGAACAUUAUCAGCGGACUCUCCGCCGCCUGGCGGGAGGAGGUUUGACUUUGUCGCGACCAGAUAGGGUUGGAGGGAGGUGCCUAUGUACAUUAUGUGUGUAGCCAGCGGCAUGCCCUCCAAUGAAGGUGGAACAGCUUGACCCCCAAAUGUACACGUAUAAAUAGAAUUCAUGUUGGGCAGGUGAACUAUGCAAUACCCUAUGCCCGUUGGCGAAUUUUACUCAAUGAGU